ensembl:lncRNA
CUACGCCAGCCAUCUCUGCUCCUAAUGGAUGUUUGUGAGGAAAUGAAUAGCUCUUCUUUUCCAUUAAGUGUAUUGGAGGAAUUAGUAGUUUGAGCGUAGCCACUGCAAACCAUGUUAUAUAAAAGUUCCAUCUCUAAUGCAUUUAACCCCCCAACCCCACCCACCCUUCUCACCAUCAGAUGGGAAUAAUUUUUAACAGAUGAGCCCUAAACUUCGGAGAAAGGCAGAUGUCAUGCUUUCUGGAAUUUACAUUUCUGGUUCUAGUUCAACUGUCUGAAACUGGAGUCAAUGGCCAAGCGAAGAAAAACUCUCUCUCUCUCUUUAGUUUUUCUUGUCUGCAGGCAUGCCGAAAUGCCUUGGAGGUGGCACUGAGGACCCUUAGAGCUCAGGAAGAUGAGAAGGAGGCCAAGCAGUCACGGUUAAAGGCCAUCCACAGUCACUCUUCUAAUCAGCAAGCACUUCUUAAUCAGCUAUGAGGUCGUCUGGAGGUGGACAAGUGAGUACCCAAUUCUUAUACACAGACGUCGGUCACGUAUGCCUUUUACAUCAAUGUACGUAAAGCACUUCACUCUUUCCUUCAGUUUCAGGUAACAAGCUAUUAUUCAGUCUGACACCACCCUCUCUUAAAGGGAUAGUUCACCCCAAAGUUAAAAGACUGUUGUCUUUUACUCUGAGUCAUGUCAUUUAAAUUCUGUAUGAUUUAUGUGGUAAGUACUGUAUCAGUAGCUUCAUUCCUGGACGAGAAUUGUUGCAUAAUAUGUUUUAUAUCUUGAAUAAACAUGGAUUGCACAUAUCUGGUGAAUUUUAG